AGAGGGCGCCAGGCGGGCCGCGGGCCCCGAGCCGCGUCAUGGCCGCCGCGCGGGUGCUGCUGAUCCUGGCCGGGCGCCCCGUGUCGCCGAGGUUCGUGCAGAGUGUGUGUCGCCUCCUGGGCGCCGGGCCAGGGCUCGGGCCGUGGCCCACUCACUGCGGCUUGAAGCGAGGACGACUAGUCCUCUCAGACGGGCCAUUCCCAGGCGCUUCGACCAGGCUUCCACUCCAGCGACCCCCUUUCUGCCCUUUUGUGGCACUGGACCAGCAGCAGCUCAGGGCUCUGGGGGCUGAGCUGCCCACGAAUCGAGGUGUGGACCUGGGUGUGGCCAUCAUGCUGCAGUCCAGCGACCAGACUGUCUUGUUAACCCGAAGGACACGCACCCUCAGCGUUUCUCCCAACCUCUGGGUACCCCCAGGUGGGCACGUGGAACUUGAUGAAGAGCUGCUGGACGGAGGGCUUCGAGAGCUUUGGGAGGAGAGUGGACUACAGCUGCCCCAGGGCCAGUUCUCUUGGGUCCCUCUGGGAUUAUGGGAGUCUGCCUACCCUCCUAGGCUGAGCUGGGGUCUCCCCAAAUACCAUCACAUCAUUCUCUAUCUACUCGUGGUCUCCCGGGAAUCACAGCAGCAGCUGCAGGCCCGGAUCCAACCAAACCCAAGUGAGGUGAGCGCCUUUAUGUGGCUGGGACCAGAUGUAGCAGCUGCAGUGGCUGCCACAGAGGAUGGGACAGAGACACCCAGACAUCUCCCCCAGGAGCUACCACCCUCCAUCCUGGCAUCGUCCAUCCAUCACUCUCCUGCCGUGGCUGGGAGGGCUCUGUGGAAGAGGGCUAAGCCACAAGGCACAGCCCAGACAGGAGCUGUCGUCAUGCAGUACGGCAGAACUAGAGGAGGACGGAGGAGCUCGACCCCUGGCCAUGCCCGUGUCCACGCUGCUGCGAACGACCCCAACCACGGAUGAAGGCAAAGAGAGGGUCAGCUCUGGGACCAAGUUUGCCCUCGGGCUCUGGCUGCAACAUCUGCGCAGGUAGAGCCGGGAUGGCAGCUGAGGUGACAGGACAGUGCUUUUUGGUCGGGGGCAGGUCCUCCUCAUCCGAUGAACUCUCUAUUGUCAAGUCAAUAACUUCAACCUUCUUCUUAUUCUCUGAUGGAUUGCCCUCUUGGACUGGGCUGUACUGGAGGCCUGCGGGUGGUAAGAGGACUGUGUCUCAGAGAUGAGGUCAUCUGAGAUGUAGUUCAGCUCGGGGACGGGGAGUCACUCACCAUCCAGCCCAUACCCUGGCGGGGGGCAAACCUCAGAUGCCUCCUUCUUGGGUUUCAUUGGGCACCAGGAUCCAUCUUCCAUGAACUGGAUCUCAUCACAAUCCGAACAGGAAUUAAGUAUCUCCAUGAACAAGCUGGGGGAAGGGGAGAGAUGGGAAUUCAUGGGGCUGGGAGAUGGCUGGAAACAGUAGCCGGGGAGUUCUGGGACUCACCUCUCUGAACCUGUUUCCUCGUCUGUAAAAUAGGGACAUUAUUCACUCUACUCAACUCUCUUGAGUUGUCGGAAUCAAAUAAAGUAAGGUAAUAUAAAAGAGA